AGGCCCUGACAGGGAGCACGCAGGCAGGGUGGCCAGCGUGGCUGGAGCGGAGUGGCCAAGGGCUGGGGUGGGGUGAGGGGCAGGGGCCAGCUGUGGAAUGCUGCUCCUACGUGCUAGUGUUCUAAGACUCAUUCAGCACUGCCCUGAGUAUCUUGACUCUGAACCUGUCCCUGCCCUGACCCCUUCCCCAAUCAACUUUAAUUUUAGGGACCCACCCAUCACAGUAAAUGCCAGCACUGCUGAUGCCAAAACAAUGUUAUUUGUGUAAGUAUGUGUUUUGUAUUUUACCGCCUUAAUCCUGUCUUCAACCUCUCCUCUUCUGUCCCACCCAAGUAUCUGCCCUUCCUUUCUUGACUCCUUCCAGAGGCCCUCGGAAUUUGUGACCUGAAGGAAGAAGAGCAGGGCCGUGGGAAGUAUGUAACCAGUGUCAUGCCCCUGGUCCCAAGGAAGCAGUGGCUUGGUAAAGAGGGGACCCCCGUCAAUAACUCCCUGUAAUUACUGGGCACCCACUCUGAGCUCCUCAGUGGAAUCCUAAGGUUAAUAAGACUGUCUCUAGCCACUGGGGCUCCCAGCCUGGAGUGAGGUAAGAGGAGUGGAGCCGGCUGGGGAGGGAGACGAACACAUACACAGAAGAUUCAGACACACUUGCAAUGUAUUGCUGGGGAUUCUCCAGCAUUGGCAUGAUGGAGAGGGUGGAGAAUCAUUUGACCGCCUCCGCCUAGGAUUGCAGAGUUCAGCUGGCCAUCAUCCACCAGCCGGGGGACUGUGCACAUCAGUUAACCUCUCCUCUCAGGCCUUGAAAAGCACCAGGCUUAGUACACGUUUGUUAAAUGAAUGCACUGCAGUUUUUUUGCUUGUUAAAGGCAGGUAAUAAUAAUGAUAUUGCUGACUAAGGGCUCCCAUCCACUCCCAGUGAGCCCGGUGCCCCCCCGGGCCUCCUCAGUGAGCUGAGGAGGCUCAGCAGUGCCUGCACGUCCCCUCGCCACAAUGUCAUGUGCCACCUCUUCAAAGGAGGGAUGUACCAGCUAGUGGACGUGACCUUGACUGCAAAGGGCGGCACGCAGCUGAUGUAAUGGUCGCUUAAGUGUUCACAAAUGCCUGAACACCCUGUCCUACCUGGUCCUACCUGGAUGCUGGCCUCAGUAAGCUCCUGGGCUCAUUGAAGAUGAACCUAGCAGUAGUAUUUACACCACUUGUUGUGUGCCCACUGUGGGCCCGGCGCCAUGCCGAGUGCUCUAUGGAUGUGAGAGAAACGGAGGCCCAGAAAGCAGAAAUGAUGUGUUAAGAUCACUCAUCAAGCUGAUGGUACAGAGAUGAGAACACUGAAGCAGUUUUUUCUAAAGAUAGCUGCCUGGCACAGUGGCUCACAUCUGUAGUCCCAGCAUUUGGGGAGGCCAAGGCAGGUGGAUCACUUGAGGCCAGGAAUUCAAGACCAGCAUGGCCAACAUGGUAAAACCCCAUCCCUACUAAAAAUACAAAAAUUAGCUGGGCGUGGUGGCACCUGUAAUCCCAACUACUCAGGAGGCUGAGGCAGGAGAAUUGCUUGAACCCAGAGGCGGAGGUUGCAGUGAGCCAAGAUCACGCCACUGCACUCCAGCCUGGGCAACAGAGCAAGACUCCGUCUUGGGGAAAAAAAUGCAAAAAUUAGCCAGGCAUGAUAGUGGGCACAUGUAAUCCCAGCUACUUGGGAGGCUGAGGCAGGAGAAUCGCUUGAACCUGGGAGGCAUAGGUUGCAGUGAGCCAAGAUUGCGAUUGCACCACUGCACUCCAGCCUGAGUGACAGAGCAAGACUCCAUCUCAAAAAAAAAAAAAAAGCCAAAGAAUAUAUAUUAGGUUGGUGCAAAAGUAAUUGCAGUUUUUGCCAAUACAAGUAGUUUACAGAAAGAGAAAUAUCAGUGGCCCAUAAACAUGUAGAAAGAUGUUUAAUAGCACUCAUAAUUCAAGAAAUGCAAAAUAAAACUAAAAUUAAACAUCACUUUUUCACCUUUCUGCUUGGCAAAAAUGAAAACAUUUGCCAAUACUCAGGGAUGGUGAGAAAAACUACUUAUAUAACUUAUAUAACUGUUCCUCUGUAGAUUCUGAGUUCUAUCCUAGUAACAGUUCAUGUCACCAAAAAACUACACAUUAGAACCACCUUAGCUUAGCUGCCCAGGAAAAAUGCCUUCAGCCAAGUUCCAUUUUAAUGUUAUACGCUUGGCAUCUCUUGAUGGUUGGCAGAAGAAAUGACCACAUGAAAAGCUGCAUUUUUUUGUCCUGGAAAAACCACCACUAAAGGCAUUGUAAUCUACAUUGAGUAUAUAAGGAAGGGCCCACACAAUAAAUUAUCUGCAGUAUUUACUACCAGGAAAGAUUUACUUUCUCCUGAAGACCUGAUGUGUUAUUUUGCCAUACGAUGGUAAUCAUAUAAACCUCUGUUUCUCGUUUCUCCUUGGCUGCUAAGAAGCUCAAAAAUCACAUCUGAUGAUCCACUCUAGUGACAACAUAGCCAGGGCGAUUGGCAUCUGACUUCUCAACCCAACCUGACCUCAUAUUAGCUUUUUUCUUUUGUCUCCUCUCCCCUUCCAUUAGUUUCUCUUCUUCCACUUGCUGUUUAGUUUUCUAAUUCUAGCUUAACAAAAUUAUUAUAAAUGUGUGUUUUUGGAAGCUAUUUCAAAAUCUUUUGGAAGUAGAUAGGAUAUGUUACAAAUAGUCAAACUCCCUUAGUUUAUAGAUGAGAAAACUCAAGUUCUUUAGAAGUUAAAUGACUUAUUCCAGUGUUAAUCAGCUUAUAUCUGUGUGCACAUGUGACUCUCACUUUAUUGUAAGUGUCUUAGAAUUAUAUUUAUCUCUGAGACUCUGGUGGCCAGCUUUGAGCCAAGUACAUGGUAAAUUGUCAAUGUAUAUAUAUUGGUUGAAAAAAUUCUAAGUGCUGUGAGGAAAGGGACAUUUUUGCAGGGGAUAAGGUCGUAGUAGGUGCUCAUGAGAACUGAAUUCACAACAGGGCGUGGCCUCAGCCUCUGGCCUCACCCCACCACACCCUAGCAUCUCCACCACCCAGGAGUCUCAGGGCUGGGCUUCAUGCAACCCAUCUGCCCUACACCUGCCCGCACUCUGCCUUUGUCUCCACUAUUCCACUUUGGCCCUCUUGCCUUGUCCAGUGAGUUUCCAAAUAUUUCUCUUUUUUUUUGAGACGGAGUCUUGCUCUGUCACCCAGGCUGGAGUGCAGUGUUGCGAUCUCGGCUCACUGCAAGUUCCACCUCCUGGGUUCAAGUGAUUCUCCUGCCUCAGCCUCCAGAGAAGCUGGGACUACAGGUGCCCGCCAUCAUGCCCGGCUAAUUUUUUUUGUAUUUUUAGUAGAGACGGGGGUUUCACUGUGUUAACCAGGAUGGUCUCGAUCUCCUGACCUCGUGAUCUACCCGCCUCAGCCUCCGAAAGUGCUGGGAUUAGAGGUGUGAGCCACCGUACCCAGCUGAGUUUCCAAAUAUUUCUGAUUUCACCAGCGGGGGAAGACUGGCAGGCUCCUAUAUCCUCGAAGUAUCCUGCCAUGAGAUGCCUGCAGAGUGGGGAAUGGCAUCACCUUUCCAACCCUGUGCAGCACCCAGUGCGAGCUGCUUAUUAGUGGGAACUGGAGAGGAAGAGGAGGAAAAGGAGGACCCAUGGCCAUGGCUUUUUCUGUCCUUGUAACCCUCAACUGAUAUGUAUCCCAUACUUCUUGGUUGGGCAGAGGGGAGAGCAGAGGUUGACAGGUCACAUUUCCCUCAGUUUUCCAUCCUUCCUUCAGUGCUGGGAGAGAAAAGCAUACGACAUAGACAGGGAGGUCAAGCUCCACCACGCAGAUGAGGUGCAGGCCACCAGUCUUCCUCUGCCACAUCUCUUUCUGAAAAGCCACAGGGUGCCUCAGGCUUGGAGCAUCCCGGAGCCAGUUACAACCCAAGACUUCAGCCUUCUGGAAGGUGUUGGGUCAGCCACCCUGAAGGACGAUCCUGCCCAAGUGACAUGCUUUGCUCUUCCUUCUCACCCAGGACUUCACAUUCACCCUUGCAAUCCAUGUGGGGACACUGUUGGAUAGGAGGCGUGGUCCCAGCGUGGUCUCCCUGUCUGGGCCUCUGCCUAUGCCAAAUGUUUGCCUUACGCUGCACACUCAAGAGGUUCCAUGUAUACAGAUGGGAAUUCCAGAGCUACAGAAAAGGCAGCAAGCACCAUGAUUUAAGCUAACCAGUGUGGAUUCACACCUUCCUCUCUCUCUAUCAGUGGCAGAACUACCAGCUAGAGUAAGAAGUGGUUGAUCCAGGACCUAAACAUUCUGGAAACUCUUGCCCACUUCUGGGAGAAAUGACCCAAUCCAUAGUACUAAGCACACCUUAACUUUCGUAGGACGCAGGCAAGUUGUCAUACCGUGUGCCUAAAUAUAGAAAAAUGAUCCACUGGACUAAUAAAGUGUUAAAUAAAAUAUGUCCUGACUGUCUACUUUGACAACAUACUUUCAUAAUGACAAAACUUAAAAAUGUAUAAAGCUAUGGUUUUUAUAUAGUUGAAAAUUGACAAAACAGAAGACUAAAUUUACUUAUUAUUGCACAUGAUGGGCGGGCUAUGUUUGGUUGAG
rnacentral:lncRNA from 10 species